UUGAAGGAAAAGCUGAUUCCUCCCCGACAUUUACUUCUUUGAUAAAACGGGUGGAUGUAGCAGGAAAAACAAAACCAAAAAAAUAUAUCCCCCCCGUCUCGGUAUAAAGGAUAGAGAGCCACAUCUGCCGGGAGCUGCCUGUUGCAAAGGUAUAACCACAUGUUUUAGAAUCUGGAUCAACUGCUUUCCAUGCUGGAUAACUCAGCUACGUGGGACUUGAGGACUUUCAGCCCCUCAGAUCGCUUUGCUCUCCACCUGCCAGCUCUCCUGAGCACCAAAUCCACUUGAAAACGGAGAAAAAUGUUCGGCUGAUAAGGAAAAGCGAACACAAAGAGCACGACACUUCCCAGGCACCAUUAAAGGGAGACAAAAAGAGCCUAAAAGGAGAAGAAAAGCUUUCAGUGCCCCCAGCUCGCAUUUUCCCCGCACGUGCGGAAUGAAAGGGCAGCGGGGCUGUGCCUCCCUCGCUGCUCCGACACCGAUGAACAAGAUAACCGUGAGCAGCAGGAGAGCCCUGCGGCUGCGGGCGAGCUGGGGAGGCGAUCCCGGCUCAUUCUCAUGCAGCAUUGUGGGGAUGCAGGCCGGCCUGGCAGGUAUCGGGCUGAACUCUCAGGAGCCUGCAGUGGCAGGGAUUUUAUCUCCUCCCCAGAGAGCCCUCGGGUACUCAGCUAUCCCAGGGGCUCGUUUUUCUCUGCAUCCAACCCAAACCUUUCUUGCUACAGGACUGGUUCCUCCUGGACCUCUUCUGACAGCUGUGUGACACAGAUGAGCCUUAAUGACCCUUAAUGCAAAAUAUGUAUUUCAGCUGCUUUUUUUACAGUGUGACUACUGCUUAUGAUAGAGAAUUUCACCUGUACAAGCACAAAAUCGGAUCGAAUUAACUUCUUUAAAGGGUUUCUCUGCCUCUGAAGAGGGUGUCCCUCUGCCACCACUCUGGUUUUGCAGCUUUACAACAGCAGACCUGUGAACUGAGAUGCCCAGCAGUUUUCUUUUUAUUAUUUUUUUUUUCUUUUUUAAAGGAAGUCAUUAUUCAUCGAUAUUUAAAGAAAAAGCAAACAAAUAUUUGAUGUGCUGUGUUAGCAUGAAAGGGGGACCCCUGUGCAAGCACAGAAAGCACAGGUGAGCUAUUUUAUAGGAGAGAAAACAACCUGGGGGGGUCGGAAAUGGGGCUACUACAAAGGUAAAUCCCGGCUGUGUAAAUACAGAGAGAGAGAGAAGUUUGGUUAUCCUCAAAGGGGAGACAGAGACACCAAACACAUGGCUUUAUAAUUCAGAGUUUGACAUCUGUAAGCAUCACAGAAAAAGAGCACAAAAAGCACAAAACUGAGGGAAGAGCAGAGAUACAGGAGGUCAGUGAGAUCAGCAGAGAUUCUGUCCUACCCAAAGAGAGUCCAGCAGGUUUUCUGUCUGACACUAGAUGUUAAUUUAACCACAGAGCUGAGAAAUGUAGCUGGAAAAUCCCUUCUCCCUCUUUAAAGCCUAAAAUCUACUUAUUAUGCCAAUCAAUUUGUGAUUGUGCUUUGUGGAGACCCAAUCCAUGUAGAUAUAUUUAAAAAAAAUAAUUUUCUUGAGUUCUACUCCUCUGCAAGAAUCAAAACACACUCAAAGCCUUGUCCAGCUCUAAAGGAUUUCUGAACUUUUAGAGAAAAUCAAAAGUCCAUUAGUUUCUUUUCUUAUCAUUUAUGUGCAUAAGCUUCCAACACUUCCAGGCUUUCCCUGGCACUACAAACAGAACAGAGAAAAUGCAUCAAGAAAAUCUAUUCCUUGGUUAUUUCCAGCCCAGUUAGUUUGAGGAAUUAAAAUAAAUCUAUGAAAGAAUAAAAAAAUAAAGUCAUGUGCAAGGUUUUCAUGGAUGUUUUUCAGACCAAAGAGGUUCUGAUGGAUUUUAAAGAUUCAUCCAAACUUCAGAGUGAGUUUCCAAACCAAACAUGGCUGCAAACCCUGACAUCCAUCAGCUGCUAGUUUGCCAACCUUCCUAUCAUGAAGCAAAAAAAGGACCAUUUAAGAUCAUCUCAGAAUAUUCUGCUUUCAUGGCCAUUUUGCUCUGUGACAGUUUGUAGUCACCAGAACACAAAUAUUCAUGUUGCAAAUGGUUAAAGGCCGGGCCCAGCAGUAACAUAGACAUACACCAGGAUUAAAUAAUAAAUCUCAUUUUUCUGACAUCUUCACUCUGAGAAAACUGUGCUAUCAGAAUAAUAAUAAUUAAAAUGUCCACGACUGACCAUUAUGACUUUUUCUCUUGGAAUUAAAUACUUCAAAUAGCAAAAUGAAUCAUUAGGCUGUGUGAAGAGCAGCUGGACAUGAAGUGUUUUGCCUAAAGCCAACCCAGCUCCUGGAUGAGGAUGGGAUUUGCUGGAUGGUUGAACAUCUCCAAUAGCAAUGCCUUGGAAAAAUGAGCGUGAUUUAAAUCUCACAUUUCCUACUCCAGGACUGCCCAGUUUGUACCUGUUUUUAGCAGGAGAUGCUCUGGAGUCUGCAGGAAAGGCCAUCAGAGCAAAGAGGAAAGGAGCAUAUGGUGAGCAGCAGACCUGGAAUGGAGGGUGGGACACUAUUCCAAUCCGAAGUUUUUAUUGGCAAAAGGACUGGCAAAUACAAACUGCCAGGAAUAAAUUGCUGCUGGAACUCAGAGGACAUGUUCGAGUCAUCAGCAGACACAAAGCCUGAGAGGAAGGAUCUUACUCAGGGACAGCACGACCUCCUUAGGAAAAACUGCACAUCCUUCCUGCUUGGCAUUGCAGGAAAUACCAGGAAAAUAACCCUCCAGUGUAUCUCUGGUUCCAAUGAGAAUUUAGGGGGAAAAGAGACACCUAGGCAGAAAAAAUGGAAUGAGGUCACAGUGAGGGGCACCCCAAGCCCAGACAGAGCUGAGUGUCCAGCUGAGGCUGUUUUCCUGUGGGUGGAUUUACAUGGCAACCCUGGCCCCAGCACAGAGGUUUUCCAGGAUUUACCUUUUUUUAAGAUUCCCAUGACAAGGAAAGUGAUUAAUCUCCAUUUCAUGGCAGCAGGAGCUGAGCAAGAGACUGCUUGGUUUUGCCAAGAUAACCAGGAGAAAAGUCCAGCUCAUUUCUGGGCAGCACUACAGAAAGAGGGAAAAAACUGAACCAGGUAUUAAGGGAAGAGAUGAACAAUGAAAGUCAAGACUAUCCUAGUUUUACAUAUAAAUACAAGAAAUUGGAAGGGCAAACAUUGAAAAAAUUAAAGUUCCUCUUGACUAGUUUUUCAAUUGAGUAUUUCAGGAAAGAAGAAUUUAACACUGUCCUAAAAACUACCUUGAGGCAGCAGCACUGAUACAAAUUUCCAGAGUUGUCCCAGACCUUCUGUGAGGAAGAACCAACAUUCUGGGGCAGAGGAGCUGAAGCUUAAGACUGCAAUUCCAGUGGAAACUCAGAGAAGCAGUUCCUUUAGGAGUUGCAAUUUAUUCUUCUGGAACAGAAGGAAUUAUUGCACCAAACAGGGGCUAAGAUGUCCUGACAGCAGCAGUGCAGAACUAUCUCUGCAGCAGUUAUUAAUGAGCUGGAAAAAUGCUGGGAAGCAAAUGCACCUCCCCUCCCCAAGGCCAGAAUUCAUGGCAACAAAUCCCUAAAAUAAUCAGCUAACUCUGGAAGAUUAGGAGAAGGGAUGCCUCCAGAUGACAGAAGAUUUCUUAAUUCCAGUUACUUAUAAGGUCACAUUAAGCAGGAGAAAAACUUGCUCUGAAGUUUAUAAAUUAGUUUCUAAUCUAUUCCACAGCUUUCAGUAUUUCUGGUCUACAUUCUGUGUUACAGUCUAAAAUAAGAAGGGAAAAAUGUAAUAAAAAAAAUUGAAUCACUUGGGUUAGCCAAGAAAGGAUUUAAGCACUUAAUUUAGACUCCUGCUGCUACUAUCAUUAUUAUAUCUAUAGUUUUAUAUAUAUUUAUGUAUAUGUUUGCAGAGUGUUGCUGAAAUUUCCAGAGGGAAGGCAGCACUGAACAUCACAGAGGAGCUGACUUCUGGCAAUUACUAUUCUUUAUUUUUCUCCCCAAACUGUCCUGUGAAAAAUAAAUUUGGUGCGUUGUUUUUUCUUUCCAGAA